CUUUACUACGGAAUAACGCAGGAAACGUGUGCUAAUACCGUAGGUGCCCUUCGGGGGAAAGAUUUAUCGGUAAAGGAUCGGCCCGCGUUGGAUUAGCUAGUUGGUGGGGUAAAGGCCUACCAAGGCGACGAUCCAUAGCUGGUCUGAGAGGAUGAUCAGCCACAUUGGGACUGAGACACGGCCCAAACUCCUACGGGAGGCAGCAGUGGGGAAUAUUGGACAAUGGGCGCAAGCCUGAUCCAGCCAUGCCGCGUGAGUGAUGAAGGCCCUAGGGUUGUAAAGCUCUUUCACCGGUGAAGAUAAUGACGGUAACCGGAGAAGAAGCCCCGGCUAACUUCGUGCCAGCAGCCGCGGUAAUACGAAGGGGGCUAGCGUUGUUCGGAAUUACUGGGCGUAAAGCGCACGUAGGCGGGUAUUUAAGU
rnacentral:rRNA from 1 species